AAUCAACGCUGGCGGCGUGCCUAACACAUGCAAGUCGAACGAGAAGGUGACUUCGGUCACUGGAUAGUGGCGUCCGGGUGAGUAACACGUAGGUAAUCUACCUUCGGGUGGGGAAUAACGUCUCGAAAGAGACGCUAAUACCGCAUAAUGCAGCGGCACCUAAUGGUGAUUAGUUGUUAAAGCGGGGGAUCUUCGGACCUCGCGCCUGAAGAGGAGCCUGCGGCAGAUUAGCUAGUUGGUGAGGUAAUGGCUCACCAAGGCUUCGAUCUGUAGCUGGUCUGAGAGGACGGCCAGCCACACUGGCACUGACACACGGGCCAGACUCCUACGGGAGGCAGCAGUGGGGAAUUUUGGGCAAUGGGCGAAAGCCUGACCCAGCAACGCCGCGUGAAGGAGGAAAUCCUUCGGGAUGUAAACUUCAUAAGUAAGGGAAGAAAGCUGCGGAUCGAAUAAGUCCGCAGUCCGACGGUACCUUACGUAAGCCA
rnacentral:rRNA from 1 species